UAAUAAAUAAAAACAAACAUCAGAACAACAGAUCAAAUAAUAAUUUAGAAAGGACUAAAGACUAGAAUUGGAUGUGAAUGAAGAUUCCAGUGAUAUGGAUCAUUUAGCUUUUCGUGGGAAGGGUGUCUGUCUGUCAUUUCUUCUCAUUCUUCUAUGAAGUGGAAGUUGGACAUGAUUACCAAUUUCUAGUGUUUUUUCUCAGUUCUGCCUUCUAUUAUAUGGAAAAUAUUGUUUAAUCUCACGGAAAGGGAAAAAGAUAAAAAGGUGCAAUACGCCUUGUUUAUCGUUCACGUUACAAAUUUGCAUUGUACAUGUUUAGUGACUGUACACUAAAAAAAUCCUUGUUUUGAUUGUGGCUUCCUUUCAGUAGGGUCUGCGACCAUGUUCGUUGCAGUCGCUGUGAAAAUUUUUCCUGGUCUUAUUCUCAUCUAUUGGACUUGGUUGCAUCUGUGGAAAGCAUGGUUGAAAUGAGAUUUGAGUCUUAAACUCUCUUGUGAUAGUAUUUUAACAGCUUUGCAUUUCUUGCUGGGGACAUUGACAAGCACUGGCUCUGGUGGGAAGGAUAAAAGUGUUAAUCCAUCUUUGCAUGGAAGGGAUUUUGAACAGGUAUUUUAGGUAAACUUCUGCAUUAACUCCUGUUUUCAUAAUAGGGGAUAGAGGAAUGUUGUUGUGAAGAUGGUGGAGCUACUUUAGAUGGCACCAUAGUUCAAAAUUUCAGAAAUUUAUCGACCCUAGUUGACAUGAAACCAUUAGUGACUCGACAGGUUUACAAGGUUUCGGUUGACAUUUUGACGACAUGACUGUAACCGUUGAAAUGGUCAAAAUUUUUCUCAAAAUUAUUGAAAUUUUGAAUUGGAUGACUGUAACAGUAAAAUGGUCUAAUCAAUUGCAUGAUUUUCAUGUUGGAUGAAUGUUAUAAACCAACUCUUUUGAUAUUU